rnacentral:rRNA from 1 species
UACGAAGGGUGCGAAGCAGUUACUUCGGAAUUACUGGGCGUAAAGCGUGCGUAGGUGGUUUGUUAAGUCUGCCUGUGAAAGCCCCGGGCUCAACCUGGGAAUGGCAGUGGAUACUGCAAGCUAGAGUGCGGUAGAGGGUAGUGGAAUUCCGGUGUAGCGGUGAAAUGACGUAGAGAUCGGGAGGAACACCAGUGGCGAAGCGGCUACUGGACCAGCACUGACACUGAGCACGAAAGCGUGGGGAGCAAAGCAGGAUUAAAAACC